AUUGAACGCUGGCGGCAUGCCUUACACAUGCAAGUCGAACGGCAGCACGGGAGCAAUCCUGGUGGCGAGUGGCGAACGGGUGAGUAAUAUAUCGGAACGUGCCCAGUAGUGGGGGAUAACUGCUCGAAAGAGCAGCUAAUACCGCAUACGACCUGAGGGUGAAAGGGGGGGAUCGCAAGACCUCUCGCUAUUGGAGCGGCCGAUAUCAGAUUAGCUAGUUGGUGGGGUAAAGGCCUACCAAGGCAACGAUCUGUAGUUGGUCUGAGAGGACGACCAGCCACACUGGGACUGAGCCACGGCCCAGACUCCUACGGGAGGCAGCAGUGGGGAAUUUUGGACAAUGGGCGCAAGCCUGAUCCAGCAAUGCCGCGUGCAGGAAGAAGGCCUUCGGGUUGUAACCUGCUUUUGUCAGGGAAGAAAUCCUCUAGGUUAAUACCCUUGGGGGGAUGACGGUACCUGAAGAAUAAGCACCGGCUAACUACGUGCCAGCCGCCGCCGUAAUAC
rnacentral:rRNA from 1 species